AGAGUUUGAUCAUGGCUCAGAAUCAACGCUGGCGGCGUGCCUCAGACAUGCAAGUCGAACGCGAAAGUUCCCUUCGGGGGGCGAGUAGAGUGGCGCACGGGUGAGUAACACGUAGGUAAUCUACCUUCGGAUGGGGAAUAACAACCGGAAACGGUUGCUAAUACCGCAUAAUGCAGCGGCACCUAAUGGUGACAGUUGUUAAAGCGGGGGAUCGUAAGACCUCGCGUCUGGAGAGGAGCCUGCGGCGGAUUAGCUAGUUGGUAAGGUAACGGCUUACCAAGGCUAUGAUCCGUAGCCGGCCUGAGAGGGCGGUCGGCCACACUGACACUGUCAUACGGGUCAGACUCCUACGGGAGGCAGCAGUCGGGAAUUUUGGGCAAUGGGCGACAGCCUGACCCAGCAACGCCGCGUGAAGGAUGAAAUCCUUCGGGAUGUAAACUUCGCAAGAACGGGAAGAAUAAGCCGGUAUUAACACCACCGGUGAUGACGGUACUGCUUGUAAGCUCCGGCUAACUCCGUGCCAGCCGCCGCGGUAAUUC
rnacentral:rRNA from 1 species